GACGUAGGGCGCGAGCGUUGUCCGGAUUUAUUGGGCGUAAAGAGCUCGUAGGCGGCUUGUCGCGUCGACCGUGAAAACUUGGGGCUCAACCCCAAGCCUGCGGUCGAUACGGGCAGGCUCGAGCUCGGUAGGGGAGACUGGAAUUCCUGGUGUAGCGGUGAAAUGCGCAGAUAUCAGGAAGAACACCAAUGGCGAAGGCAGCUCUCUGGGACGGUACUGACACUGAGACGCGAAAGCGUGGGGAGCGAACAGG
rnacentral:rRNA from 1 species